rnacentral:rRNA from 1 species
AGUUUUGAACUCAAGUGGCGGACGGGUGAGUAACACGUAAGAAUUUACCUUUAGGAGGGGGACAACAACUGGAAACGGUUGCUAAUACCCCAUAUGCUUUCGAGUGAAACGGAUUUCCGCCUAAAGAGAAGCUUGCGGCUGAUUAGCUUGUUGGUAAGGUAAUGGCUUACCAAGGCGACGAUCAGUAUCUGGUUUGAGAGGACGACCAGACACACUGGAACUGAGACACGGUCCAG